rnacentral:tRNA from 1 species
GUGGGUAUAGCUCAGUGGCAGAGCACAUGCUUAGCAUGCAAAAGAUCCUGGGUUCAAUCCCCAGUACCUCCA